rnacentral:rRNA from 1 species
CGUGUAGGCGGCUAUGCAAGUCGGAUGUGAAAGCCCUCGGCUCAACCGGGGAAGUGCACCCGAAACUGCAAAGCUAGAGUCUCGGAGAGGAUCGUGGAAUUCUCGGUGUAGAGGUGAAAUUCGUAGAUAUCGAGAGGAACACCGGUGGCGAAGGCGGCGAUCUGGACGAUGACUGACGCUGAGACGCGAAAGCGUGGGGAGCAAACAGGAUUAGAUACCCUGGUAGUCCACGCCGUAAACGAUGGGUGCUAGGUGUCGCGGGCUUUGACCCCUGCGGUGCCGCAGCUAACGCAUUAAGCACCCCGCCUGGGAAGUACGGCCGCAAGGCUAAA